CCUUUGCAUUUCGGGAGAGCUAUAAAGGCUCAAACUUCCUUGCCGAGUCAGUCAGCCAUUAAAAUUGACGAAUAGGUACCGAAGUUGAAAGAAUACGCGACAGAUCGAGAAAGUGAAACAAUUGGGCCAAAGGCCCACUCUUAAUUCCAAAGAGAUGUAUUUUGUUAUUUUGGGCCUAAGCCCUCGUCAUUUUAUUUAUUAGUAUUUUUGUUAGAAUUUAGGACAGGUGGGAAAAUUGGGCCGGAGGCUCAAAGGAAAUAAUAUAUUUUCCUUGUUAGUCUAGGACAGGUGCAAAGAAUGGGCAAGAAUUGGGCCGAAGGCCCAAAAAACUGAAAAUAGGCCCAAGUACUGGCCUAGGCGGACAGAUCCAGACUUGGGCCCAAAUUCUCUUUCCCUAUUCAUUUAACUGCUAUUACGUGCUUAUUUGUUAAAAAUUAAUAUUAAGAUUUUGAAACUUCAAAUCCCCGAAAGAC
rnacentral:lncRNA from 1 species